rnacentral:rRNA from 1 species
GAUGAACGCUAGCUACAGGCUUAACACAUGCAAGUCGAGGGGCAGCGCAGUGUAGCAAUACAUGGGCGGCGACCGGCGCACGGGUGCGUAACGCGUAUCCAACCUUCCCGUUGCUCAGGGAUAGCCUUCCGAAAGGGAGAUUAAUACCUGAUGGUGUUUGAAUUCCGCAUGUUAUUCAAACUAAAGAUUUAUCGGUAACGGAUGGGGAUGCGUGACAUUAGGUAGAUGGCGGGGUAACGGCCCACCAUGCCCACGAUGUCUAGGGGUUCUGAGAGGAAGGUCCCCCACACUGGAACUGAGACACGGUCCAGACUCCUACGGGAGGCAGCAGUGAGGAAUAUUGGUCAAUGGUCGGAAGACUGAACCAGCCAAGUAGCGUGAAGGAUGAAGGUUCUAUGGAUUGUAAACUUCUUUUAUACGGGAAUAAAACCUCCUACGUGUAGGAGCUUGUAUGUACCGUAUGAAUAAGCAUCGGCUAACUCCGUGCCAGCAGCCGCGGUAACAC